UGGGGAAUAUUGCACAAUGGAGGGAACUCUGAUGCAGCGACGCCGCGUGAGUGAUGAAGGAAUUCGUUUCGUAAAACUCUGUUCUAUGGGAAGAAAAGGACUGUACCAUAGGAGAAAGCUCCGGCUAAAUUCGUGCCAGCAGCCGCGGUAAUACGUAUGGAGCGAGCGUUGUCCGGAAUUAUUGGGCGUAAAGGGUGCGCAGGCGGCUUUACAAGUUGGAUGUGAAAUAUUGUGGCUCAACCACAAACGUGCAUCCAAAACUGCAAAGCUUGAGUUAAGGAGAGGUAAGUGGAAUUCCUGGUGUAGCGGUGGAAUGCGUAGAUAUCAGGAGGAAUACCGGUGGCGAAGGCGACUUACUGGACUUAAACUGACGCUCAGGCACGAAAGCGUGGGGAGCAAACAGG
rnacentral:rRNA from 1 species